UUGUGUCCUUGUGCUACUCUUAUUUCCCUUUUGGAUGUACUUCACAGAGAGAAAACACCUGAGUGGUUUGACUGAUGCCUCUAGAUGAUGGGCUUCAUUAUUUUAUUAGAGGAGGCAUAAGAGAAGAGAGAUGUCCUGUGUAUGCUAAGAAACUUAGAAUUGUCUGUUGGAGAUUAAUCCAGGGGAAAAGGCAAGAAAAACAAUUUUAAUCUAUAUAGGAGGCAACAGAGAAGUUUCUGGGAUUCCAUUUUUCACACCUUACAUCAUAACGAAUAAAUUAUCCAAGAUCAUGUCAGCUGCCCUUCUAAUCACCAUGCUAAAUUUGUUUUAUCAAGUUGCCUCUGAGAAGCCCAGAGAAAAUGAAAAUCGUUCUGACAAAAAUAUAAUAAUAAUAGUGCUUGGAAUCAUUGCUGCAAUAAUGACACUUUUAUUUUUUGUUUUUUGCAUACUUUAUUUCAAAACAAGAGCAUGUUUAAACUGAACAUUUGUUUAUAAUCAGUCUAUUUAUGGACUUAUUCUGAAGUAAAAACAACAGGUAUAUUUUUGUGGCUAAAGUUGUUACUGCUGAGAAGACAGAAACCAGGAAGCUGUGAUGAUGUGAUGCAAAGAUUAUCCUAAACUCAAAAAAUGUCACCUGGUCAUCAAUGACCUCUGCCUCUAGGUUCUCUCCAUGGACAUUCAGAUGCUAUAUGUCAAUCAUGCAGUGAUUGCCUUUUUGUAGCUGACAAGUCACUUGACAUAAUAUCCUCAAGGUUUAUCCACAUUGUCACAUAUUGCAGAAUUUCCUUCUUCUUAAUGCUGAACAAUAUUAUAUGGUAUGUAUAAACCUCUUUAUUCUUUCAUCUUUAGUGGGCAUUUAGGUUGUUUCCACAUCUCAGGUAAUGUGAAUAAUGUUGCAGUGAACAUGGGAGUAGUAAUACCUAUUUAUAAUCCUGCUUUCAAUUCUUUUGGAUAAAUAUCACAAGUGAGACUGUUGGAUCAUAUGGUAGUCUCUUUUUAUUUCUUGAGAAACCUCCAUUGGAUAAAGGAGGCACCAUUUGGUAUUCUCACCAAUGGUGUAAAAGAAUUAAAUUUCUGUAUACCUUUAGUAACACCUGUUAUCUUUAUUCAAUAUACUUAUCCUGACAAUUGUGAAAUAAUAUUACAUGGUGCUUUUCAUUCACAUUUCGCUGAUGGUCAGUGAUGUUGAGCACAUUUUCAUAUACUUUUUGCCAUUUGCAUAUUUUCUUUGGAGAAAUGUCUAUUCAAGUCCAUAGACCAUUUUUAAUUGGGUUAUGAGGGUUUUUCUCUUUUUCUUUGUCAAUGAAUUAGACAAGUUCCUUAUAUAUCUUUGAGGUUAAUAUAUUAUUAGAUAUAUGAUUUGAAAAUAUUCAUUCAAAUUCCAUAGGUGACCUUUUCAUUUUUGAUUGUUUCCCUUGCUAUGCAGAAGAUUUUUAGUUUUAUGUAACCCUUAAAUUUGUUUUUUUUCUUUGCUCUUUAUUUUUGCCAGUGCUUUUGCUGUUAAGAAAUUAUUACCCAAGAAAGUAUUCUCAAAAUUAAUAUCAUGAAGCUUUGGCCUUAAGUGUUUUUCUAGCACUUUUAUACUUUGGGGUCUUAUUUUUGAGUCUUUCUUCCAUUUUGGGUAUAUUUGACUGUAUGGUAUAAGAUAAGGGUCAAUUUCAUUCUUUUGAAUGUGAAUAUUCAGUUUUCCCGACAAAGUUUGUUGAAAAGUGUAUUCCUUCUUCAUUGUGCAUUCUUGACACCCUUAACAAAGAUCAGUUGAUCACAUAUGUGUAUAUUUUGAAAGGGGGAAUCUCUAUUCUGUCCAUAGGUUUACAUGUCUAUCUUUAUGCCAGUACAGUACUGUUUGAUUAGUGUGCAUUUAUAUUAUAUUUUGGAAUCAGAAAAGGUGAUGUUUCCAGCUGCAUUCUUUCUCAAAAUUGAUUAGCCAUUUAUGGUCUUCUAUAAUUCCAUACAAAUAUUAGUUUUUUUUCUAUUUCUGUGAAGAAAUGCUGUUGGGAGUUUGGUAGGGAAUAUAUUGAAUAGGCAGAUUGCUGUGCAUAACAUAGACAUUUUAACAAUACUGAGUUUUUAAAUCGAUGAACAUGGGAUAACAUUCCAUUUGCUGGUCUUCCUUAAUUUCUGUCAUCAAUGUUUUGUAGUUGUCGGUAUGCAAGUCUUUCACUCUUAGGUUUAUUCCUAAAUAUUAUAGUCUUUUCAGUAUUAUUGUAUGAGAAAUUACUUUUCUAAUUUCCUUUUCAAAGGAUAUCAAUGUUGACUUUAUAUCCUGCUACUUGACUGAAAUCAUUUGUUUGUUCUAAAUUUUUUGUGUGAAAUCUUUAGAGCUUUAUAUAUUUAAGAUCAUGCCUUCUGUGAACAGAGAUAAUAUUACUUCUUCCUUUCCUGUUGGAUGUUUUCUUUUCAUUUAUUUCUUUACUUUGACUGACUGCUUUAGCUAGGACUUGCAGUAUUAUGUAGAACAGAGGUGGUGAGAGUAGGCAUGCUUGCCUUGUUCCUGAUCUUCAGAAAAAGGCUUUAGCUUUUUUAUCAUUGAGAUGAUGUUAGUUGUGGGCUUUUCAUAUAUGGCUUUUAUAAUGUUGAGGUAAAUUCCCUUCAAUAACCAGUUUGUUAAGAGGGUGAAAAGGUAUUCAGUUUUGUCCAAUGCUUUAUCUGCAUCUAUUGAGAUAACCAUAUGAUGGUCAUACUUUAUUUUGUUAAUGUGGUCUGUUAUAUUAAUUGAUUUUGGUGUGUUGAACCAUCCUUGUAUGCUGGGGAUAAAUUCCCCUUGUUUUUUUUUUCCCCAUGGCCUGUGAUCAUUUUAAUGUUUUCAAUGUGUUGUUGGAUUUAACUUUCAAGUAUUUUGUUGAGUUUUGCAUAUAUAUUUAUCAAGGAUAUUGACCUAGUGAUUUAUUCUUUUGUGCUUUUGUCUGUUUUGGAAUCAAGGUAAUUCUGGCCUCAUAAGGUGAUUUUGAAAGGGUCUUAUCCUCUUAUUUUUUGAAAAAGUUUGGCAUUAACUUUUCUUAAAUGAUUCAUAGUCAAAUACAAAAAAAAUAGAAAGAAGUAAGAGAAGAGAGAUUCAUCACAUACAAGAGCACCCUCAUAAGGGUAUCAGUGGAUUUAUCAGAAGAAAUCUUACAGCUAAGGAGAGACUAGGAUGAUAUACUCAUAGCACUGAAGGAAAAAUAACAGCCAACCAAGAAUACUAUAUUUGGCAAAACUAUACUUAAAAAUGAAGGAAAAAGAAAUAAUUUUAAAACCAAAAAAAAAAAAAAGCUGAAAUACUCGUCACCACUAAACCUGCUUUACAAGGAAAAUUAAAUGAAGUUUUUCAAGUUGAAAUGAAAGGAUGUUGUUAGUAACAUAACAACAUUUGAAAAUAUUAAAUUCACUGGUAAAUACGUAUAGAUAGUCAAAUUCAAAAUGCCUUAACACUGUAAUGGUAGUUCAUAAACUACUUUUAACUUUAGGGGAAAAAAUUAAAAAAACAAAACUAUUAAAAAUAACCAAAGGUGUAAUAAUUUGUUAAUGGAUACACAAGAAAAAAGAGGUAAAUUGUAAAGCAAUGUAAAAUAGAAGUAAAAGUGCAGAGUUUUUAAUGCAAUUGAAGUUAAGUUGUUAUAGCUUAAAAUUGACUGUUUUAACUAUAAGGUGUUUUAGGUAAGCUUCUUUGUAACCACAAAACAAAAAAAAUGUUGUAGUGGAUACAAACCACAUAAUAAGAAUAUAAUCAAAACAUACCACUACAGGAAACUAUCAAAUCACAAAGGAAGACAUCGAGAGAGGAAGAAAAGAACUACAAACAUUACCAAAAUAAUUUUUACAUCACAAUAGAAGGUUCUUAUCUGUAAUAGUUACUUUAAAUAUUAAUGGAUUAAAUUCCCCAAUCAAAAGACAGACUGGCUGAAUGGAUAAAAGGAAAAAAAAA